CUGGUGCCUAAAGUUUGUGCUUUUCCUUUGCCAGGUGAUUUUAUUCAAAGUCUCACUGGGAAUCUCACUGGAGGGAGGGAAAGCACUGAGAACAGGAAGCUGCUUCACCCCAGAGUUCCCUGGUGCCCUUUCCUCCUUCAUCAACAAAGAUACAGAAACUGUAAUUAUCAUGUUGGAAUUCUUUGCUAAUUUGCCACCGGAGCUGAAGGCAGCCCUGUCUGAGACGCAACCAUCGUUACCAGAGCUACAACAAUAUGUACCUGCGUUAAAGGAUUCCAAUCUUAGCUUUGAAGAAUUUAAGAAAAUUAUUCGCAAUAGACAAAGUGAAGCCGCAGACAGCAAUCCUUCAGAAUUAAAAUACUUAGGCUUGGAUACUCAUUCUCAAAAAAAGAGAUGACCCUACAUGGCAGUGUUUGAGAAAUGUUGCCUGAUUGGUUGUACCAAAAGAUCUCUUGCUAAAUAUUGCUGAGAUGAAGCUAAUUGUGCACAUCUCAUCUAAUAUUCACACAUAGUCUUGAUGACAUUUCACUGAUGCUUCUGUCAGAUCCCACUAAUUAUUAGAAUAUAAGAAAUCUUUAUUAAUGUUUAGAUUUUUCAUUUGGUGUGUAAGAAAAUAUUCUUUGUAUGAUUGUAGUUUCUGUAAAUGACACUUUCUAUGCUGAAGUCUUUUUGUCUUUUUAUUAACAGUAUGAUUAUGUUGUGUUAUUCUUUUUAAUGCUGUUAACUUAAAAUUACAAUAAAACAUUUACCACUUU
rnacentral:sRNA from 1 species